UACAGAGGUCUCAACCGUUGUUCGGAAUCAUUGGGCGUAAAGGGCGCGUAGGCGGUUGUGUAAGUCGGAUGUGAAAUCUCAGGGCUCAACCCUGAAACUGCAUUCGAUACUGCGUGGCUAGAGUGCUGGAGAGGAGACUGGAAUUUACGGUGUAGCGGUGAAAUGCGUAGAUAUCGUAAGGAAGACCAGUGGCGAAGGCGAGUCUCUGGACAGUUCCUGACACUGAGGCACGAAGGCCAGGGGAGCAAACGGG
rnacentral:rRNA from 1 species